UGAGGAAUAUUGGUCAAUGGGCGGGAGCCUGAACCAGCCAAGCCGCGUGAGGGAGGAAGGCCCUAUGGGUCGUAAACCUCUUUUGUCAGGGAACAAAAGCGAGUAUGUAUACUAGUCUGAGUGUACUUGAAGAAAAAGCAUCGGCUAACUCCGUGCCAGCAGCCGCGGUAAUACGGAGGAUGCGAGCGUUAUCCGGAUUUAUUGGGUUUAAAGGGUGCGUAGGCGGCGGUGCAAGUCAGCGGUAAAAGCCCGGGGCCUCAACCCCGGCGAGCCGUUGAAACUGCAGUGCUAGAGAAGGCGAGAGGUACGCGGAAUGCGCAGUGUAGCGGUGAAAUGCUUAGAUAUUGCGCAGAACUCCGAUUGCGAAGGCAGCGUACUGGCGCCUGACUGACGCUGAGGCACGAAAGCGUGGGGAUCGAACAGGAUUAGAUACC
rnacentral:rRNA from 1 species